rnacentral:rRNA from 1 species
UACGAAGGGGGCUAGCGUUGUUCGGAAUUACUGGGCGUAAAGAGCGCGCAGGCGGUCGUUCAAGUCGCGUGUGAAAGCCCCCGGCUCAACUGGGGAGGGUCACGCGAUACUGAUCGACUCGAAGGCAGGAGAGGGAAGUGGAAUUCCCGGUGUAGUGGUGAAAUGCGUAGAUAUCGGGAGGAACACCAGUGGCGAAGGCGACUUCCUGGCCUGUUCUUGACGCUGAGGCGCGAAAGCUAGGGGAGCAAACGGG